rnacentral:rRNA from 1 species
GACGGAGGGUGCUAGCGUUGUUCGGAAUUACUGGGCGUAAAGCGUGCGCAGGCGGCGCGUUAAGACAGGUGUGAAAGCCCCGAGCUUAACUUGGGAAUUGCGCUUGUGACUGGCGUGCUGGAGUGUGGCAGAGGGAGGUGGAAUUCCACGUGUAGCAGUGAAAUGCGCAGAUAUCGGGAGGAACACCAAUGGCGAAGGCAGCUCGCUGGGACGGUACUGACGCUGAGACGCGAAAGCGUGGGGAGCAAACAGG